UCUUUUGCCUUCAUUUCGCUUUAUGCAGUCGAGCGGAACGAGUUAACUGACCCUUCGGGUGACGUUAACGGCGUCGAGCGGCGGACGGGUGAGUAAUGCCUGGGAAUAUGCCUUGAUGUGGGGGAUAACCAUUGGAAACGAUGGCUAAUACCGCAUAAUGCCUUCGGGCCAAAGAGGGGGAUCUUCGGACCUCUCGCGUCAAGAUUAGCCCAGGUGGGAUUAGCUAGUUGGUGAGGUAAUGGCUCACCAAGGCGACGAUCCCUAGCUGGUCUGAGAGGAUGAUCAGCCACACUGGAACUGAGACACGGUCCAGACUCCUACGGGAGGCAGCAGUGGGGAAUAUUGCACAAUGGGCGCAAGCCUGAUGCAGCCAUGCCGCGUGUGUGAAGAAGGCCUUCGGGUUGUAAAGCACUUUCAGUCGUGAGGAAGGUGGUGUAGUUAAUAGCUGCAUCAUUUGACGUUAGCGACAGAAGAAGCACCGGCUAACUCCGUGCCAGCAGCCGCGGUAAUACGGAGGGUGCGAGCGUUAAUCGGAAUUACUGGGCGUAAAGCGCAUGCAGGUGGUUGGUUAAGUCAGAUGUGAAAGCCCGGGGCUCAACCUCGGAACUGCAUUUGAAACUGGCUGACUAGAGUACUGUAGAGGGGGGUAGA
rnacentral:rRNA from 1 species